AUACGAAGGGGGCUAGCGUUGUUCGGAAUUACUGGGCGUAAAGCGCGUGUAGGCGGGUCGUUAAGUCAGGGGUGAAAGCCCGGGGCUCAACCCCGGAACUGCCCUUGAUACUGGCGAUCUAGAGUCCGGAAGAGGUGGGCGGAAUUCCCGGUGUAGAGGUGAAAUUCGUAGAUAUCGGGAGGAACACCAGUGGCGAAGGCGGCUCACUGGUCCGGUACUGACGCUGAGACGCGAAAGCGUGGGGAGCAAACAGGAUUAGAAACCCUAGUAGUCC
rnacentral:rRNA from 1 species